rnacentral:ncRNA from 1 species
AUCUUCAGGGCAGGGCGUAAUUCCCGACCGGCGGUAAAGUCCGCGAGCGCAAGCUGAACCGGUGUGAUUCCGGUACCGACAGUAUAGUCUGGAUGGAAGAAGAUG